rnacentral:lncRNA from 1 species
AGUAAUUGAUAAAGAUAUGCAGGAUCCUAUUUCCUCUCCCUCAUCUCUUUUUUAGGCACAAGAAAACAAUUUUAAAAAGCAUUACUCUACAUCUUCAUGUACCAACUAUAUCAGUUUAUCUAAGUCCAGGUGCCUCUAUGUGUAUGUGUGUGUGCAUAUAUAUAUAAUAGUGGUAAAGAUGAACCGCUUUAAAGGUGGAGGGGGGGGGGGAGGAGUGGGAACCUUUUCUGAGUCAAUUUUGAUCAUGAUAGAAAAUUUGGAAAUGGUGGAAAACAGGCCACCCAUUGUUGGUUUAAACAAGUCGAAAAAUACAACUUAAAUAUGGUACGCUGAUUCGGAUUAAAAAUGCCAGUUCCUGUGUGCAUUGCCUUCUCUCUUUUCAACAUUUGAACACCCAGCUCAAAAACUUAAUGCUUUUUUUUUCUUUAUUAAUUAAAAGCACUGGGGUUCUUGAGUUUUCUUGGUGCCAGGCUGCCAACUAUUAUGGUCAAAUUGGUAUGAAAAUAAUAAUUUAGCUAGCAGGGCCAAACCGAUAUAAACUAAGCUGCCUUUCACAUUUGGUUAAUCGGUUAGGAGUUGGGGUGUGUUGGUGAUAGGGAGUGUGUCAUGGGCGGGGGGAGUAACUUAGUUUACAGUAAUGAUGGAUGGAUGGGUAAGAUCCAAGCAACAACCCUGAAGCACAAACACCUGAUAAAUUUGCUCCCUCUUGGAAGGUCAUCUGGAUGGGGAUCAGAUUAUAAAUAAUAUUAAAUCAAAGGGUAAAAGCGAUCGCCGUCUCCAAAAUUGACCAGCCUGAUCCGUACAAACAAAUUGAUUUAUUAUUAUUCACACUGGAAUAGCACAAAGCCCUUCUUUGCUCGGCCCUCUAUGCGGGGACCAUCCGCCUAUGGGAACACCCCUAUGAAAUAAAUCCAUCAUUCCAGUAUCUCCUGUAAAAACAAUUGCUACAUCGUACAAG